rnacentral:misc_RNA from 1 species
GAAAUGUGAUAACUAGUGUGAAUUGCAGAAUUCCGUGAAUCAUCGAGUCUUUGAACGCACAUUGCGCCCCCUGGUAUUCCGGGGGGCAUGCCUGUCCGAGCGUCAUUGCUGCCCAUCAAGCACGGCUUGUGUGUUGGGUCGUCGUCCCCUCUUCGGGGGGGACGGGCCCCAAAGGCAGCGGCGGCACCGCGUCCGAUCCUCGAGCGUAUGGGGCUUUGUCACCCGCUCUGUAGGCCCGGCCGGCGCUUGCCGAACGCAAAACAACCAUUCUUUCCAGGUUGACCUCGGAUCAGGUAGGGAUACCCGCUGAACUUAAGC